GAUGAACGCUAGCGGCAGGCCUAAUACAUGCAAGUCGGACGGGAUUCAGGAGCUUGCUUCUGAUGAGAGUGGCGCACGGGUGCGUAACACGUAUGUAACCUACCUUUAUCAGGGGGAUAGCCUCUCGAAAGAGAGAUUAAGCCCGCAUAAAAUCACAGCACAGCAUUGUGUAAUGAUCAAAUAUUUAUAGGAUAAAGAUGGGCAUGCGGAACAUUAGCUAGAUGGCGGGGUAACGGCCCACCAUGGCGACGAUGUUUAGGGGAUCUGAGAGGAUGGCCCCCCACACUGGUACUGAGACACGGACCAGACUCCUACGGGAGGCAGCAGUAAGGAAUAUUGGUCAAUGGGCGGAAGCCUGAACCAGCCAUGCCGCGUGCAGGAAGACGGCCCUACGGGUUGUAAACUGCUUUUAUACGGGAAUAAACCCAGAUACGUGUAUCUGGCUGAAUGUACUGUAAGAAUAAGGAUCGGCUAACUCCGAG
rnacentral:rRNA from 1 species